AUUGAACGCUGGCGGCAGGCCUAACACAUGCAAGUCGAGCGAGCGGCGGACGGGUGAGUAAUGUCUGGGAAACUGCCUGAUGGAGGGGGAUAACUACUGGAAACGGUAGCUAAUACCGCAUACCAUCAGAUGUGCCCAGAUGGGAUUAGCUAGUAGGUGGGGUAAUGGCUCACCUAGGCGACGAUCCCUAGCUGGUCUGAGAGGAUGACCAGCGCCACUGGAACUGAGAAACGGUCCAGAUUCCUACGGGAGGCAGCGGUGGGGAAUAUUGCACAAUGGGCGCAGGCCUGAGACAGCCAUGCCGCGGGUGUGAAGAAGGCCUUCGGGUUGUAAAGCACUUUCAGCGGGGAGGCGUUACCCGCAGAAGAAGCACCGGCUAACUCCGUGCCAGCCGCCGCGGUAAUAC
rnacentral:rRNA from 1 species